ACGUGUACCCCACCUGCCAGGAGCCCCAUGCACAUCUACAGGCCCAGUCAAUCAGGGGUCCAUUCCUGGAGCCAAGGGGGACAGAGGGCCUGAAGCAGGAGUGGUUCACCAAAUACUUCUCCUUUUGAGCACAAGCGCAUUGUUUUGUUUUGUUCCAGGUCUCUGCUCUCACGAGCAGAGACCUGGAACAAACUAAAGAGAAGCUGAGCCAGGAGGAGUUUGUCUGCUCGGAGCUGGCGUCGGUGCAGGAGACGCUGUACAACACGACUGGACAGCUGCUGAGUACAGUCGACGCCAGCACCAGUGAUGUCUCUGGUCUCCAUGAGAAGCUGGACAGAAAGAACAAGGUCACAUUCUGACACCAGCAGGCUUCUACACUGGACUGACAGUAUUUUGCCCAGACCACAAAGGCCCAGUUAACACUGAUGAAACAAUCUUUAACGCAUUAUCAUGAUUUCAGUUCAAUUAUAACACAACCUUGUGUUAUUUCAGGUGGAGCAGCACAACAAUCAGAUCCAGCAGAGUUUUGAAGAGAGGAUGGAUGCAGCGUUCAGCAACAUGCAGCGCUGCAUUCAGCAGCAAGGAAUUAAACACCAUGAA